UACGUAGGUGGCAAGCGUUGUCCGGAUUUAUUGGGUUUAAAGGGUGCGUAGGCGGUCUUUUAAGUCAGUGCUGAAAUACUCCAGCUUAACUGGAGGGGUGGCAUUGAUACUGGAAGACUUGAGUGUAGUCGAGGUAGGCGGAAUUGACGGUGUAGCGGUGAAAUGCUUAGAUAUCGUCAAGAACACCGAUAGUGAAGACAGCUUACUAGGCUACAACUGACGCUGAGGCCCGAAAGUGUGGGGAUCAAACAGG
rnacentral:rRNA from 1 species